GCCUUCGGAUUGNAAGCACUUUAAGUUGGGAGGAAGGGCAUUAACCUAAUACGUUAGUGUUUUGACGUUACCGACAGAAUAAGCACCGGCUAACUCUGUGCCAGCAGCCGCGGUA
rnacentral:rRNA from 1 species